AACGAACGCUGGCGGCAUGCCUAACACAUGCAAGUCGAACGAAGGCUUCGACCUUAGUGGCGCACGGGUGCGUAACGCGUGGGAAUCUGCCCCUCGGUUCGGAAUAACAGUUAGAAAUGACUGCUAAUACCGGAUGAUGACUUCGGUCCAAAGAUUUAUCGCCGAGGGAUGAGCCCGCGUAAGAUUAGGUAGUUGGUGGGGUAAAGGCCUACCAAGCCGACGAUCUUUAGCUGGUCUGAGAGGAUGAUCAGCCACACUGGGACUGAGACACGGCCCAGACUCCUACGGGAGGCAGCAGUGGGGAAUAUUGGACAAUGGGCGAAAGCCUGAUCCAGCAAUGCCGCGUGAGUGAUGAAGGCCUUAGGGUUGUAAAGCUCUUUUACCAGGGAUGAUAAUGACAGUACCUGGAGAAUAAGCUCCGGCUAACUCCGUGCCAGCAGCCGCAGUAA
rnacentral:rRNA from 1 species